rnacentral:rRNA from 1 species
UACAGAGGUCUCAAGCGUUGUUCGGAAUUACUGGGCGUAAAGGGCUCGUAGGCGGCCAACUAAGUCAGACGUGAAAUCCCUCGGCUUAACCGGGGAACUGCGUCUGAUACUGGAUGGCUUGAGAUUGGGAGAGGGAUGCGGAAUUCCAGGUGUAGCGGUGAAAUGCGUAGAUAUCUGGAGGAACACCGGUGGCGAAGGCGGCAUCCUGGACCAACACUGACGCUGAGUGAGCGAAAGCCAGGGGAGCAAACGGG